AGGCGCAACGAUUGGCUGCACUAUGGCGGACAGGGAUUCUCAAUCGACGAGACGCCGGCGAGCAUUGGCUUGGUGGGGCUGGCGGAGAGUGAUGGGGAUGCCGGAGUGGACGUGAAGACGGACAUUGGUUGUUUAUUUACUGAAUUUGGUUCACUUUUGGAUAAGCCAUGCAUCAGCUAUACAUGUAUGUGUGCUAUAAAUCAGCACUAAAACCAUUGGAAAGGGCGGGAGCUUACCUGGCACCACACAGCU
rnacentral:rRNA from 1 species